rnacentral:misc_RNA from 1 species
AGAGAGAGAGAGAGAGAGAUACCUGUUAGAGCUGCGUGAGGAAGAGAGGAAGGGAUUUGCUGCCUUUUUUAUUCUGUUUUUGGCGUGAGGUAAGUUGGCUGCUAGGUUUUAGUUGUAUUUAUUUUAAAAAAUAAAAAAAAAGUAAAGAAAAAAAAAUUGUUACGUUGAAGAAGCGCCGCCCCUCGCCUAGUGUCACCUCUUGCCUCGCUAGCUUGAGGCGUUGCCUUUUGGAAGAUAAGCCAAGCGUCCCAGUCUAGGCGGCACGGGGCGCCUUGCCUUGCCCGCUGCUCUAGAGUAACUUGCCAAUAACUCAAACACCAAUUUCCUAGUGAUACAACUCCUUAGCUCACUUGUAUCUUAUCAAAAUUGUAUGAAGUAAAGGCUAUGAAAUUGCAAAUAAGAUUGUACAUACCGAGUCCUCCAAGAGGCUUUUCAAAAGUCUACUGCAAUAUUCCUUGUCAUCUAAUAUAAUUUUUACAACACUUAGUCCUUUUAUGAACAUCUCCAUUGCUCUUGUUUUCAAGUCAGAGAUAACCACAUUCAUUUUACGAAUCCGUUACGGUUGCACCAACAGCCACAAAAAUGCAAGAAUGGAACAGAAAUGGAACUCUCUUCCUUUGUCCCCUCGAAAUUCCUUAAGUAUCAUAUGACUACAACUUUCUGCAAAAUAAGGAAUUAGUUUCUUUCUGUCUUCUUGAUGUCUCCCGCUUACUUUUAUCAAAAUUAUGGGAUCACAAAAAGAACUUAACAAUGAAAGAAUCUUCUUUGCAAAGACUACAUGAAAUCAACCCAAAUAUACUGCUUCCAAAAUCCCAAUAAUUGUUUUCACACUUUUCUUCUCCAUAAAAUUCCAAGUCUUCUACUUCCAUCGAAACAUUCUCAACAAUAAGAACACCCUUUUCGCUUCUGGAAAUUUUGAUAAAUCUGUGAUCAAGAAAAAUACCUUAAUUGCUAAAGA